UUCGUAGGCGGGUUGUUAAGUCAGAGGUGAAAUCUAACGGCUCAACCGUUAACCUGCCUUUGAAACUGGCAGACUUGAGUAUUGGAGAGGAAAGCGGAAUUCUUGGUGUAGCGGUGAAAUGCGUGGAUAUCAAGAGGAACACCCGUGGCGAAGGCGGCUUUCUGGCCAAAUACUGACGCUGAGGAACGAAAGCUAGGGGAGCGAACAGGAUUAGAUACCCUGGUAGUCC
rnacentral:rRNA from 1 species